GACGAACGCUGGCGGCGUGCUUAACACAUGCAAGUCGAACGGAAAGGCCCUGCUUUUGUGGGGUGCUCGAGUGGCGAACGGGUGAGUAACACGUGAGUAACCUGCUCUUGACUUUGGGAUAACUUCAGGAAACUGGGGCUAAUACCGGAUAGGAGCUCCUGCUGCAUGGUGGGGGUUGGAAAGUUUCGGCGGUUGGGGAUGGGCUCGCGGCUUAUCAGCUUGUUGGUGGGGUAGUGGCUUACCAAGGCUUUGACGGGUAGCCGGCCUGAGAGGGUGACCGGCCACAUUGGGACUGAGAUACGGCCCAGACUCCUACGGGAGGCAGCAGUGGGGAAUAUUGCACAAUGGGCGGAAGCCUGAUGCAGCGACGCCGCGUGCGGGAUGACGGCCUUCGGGUUGUAAACCGCUUUCGCCUGUGACGAAGCGUGAGUGACGGUAAUGGAUAAAGAAGCACCGGCUAACUACGUG
rnacentral:rRNA from 1 species